rnacentral:rRNA from 1 species
AGAGUUUGAUUCUGGCGUCAGGAUGAACGCUGGCGGCGUGCCUAACACAUGCAAGUCGAACGGACCUUAUCUGAACAGAGACUUCGGUGAAGAGAUCAUAAGGUUAGUGGCGGACGGGUGAGUAACGCGUGGAGAACCUGCCCUGUACUGGGGGAUAACAGUGAGAAAUCACUGCUAAUACCGCAUAAGCGCACGGUACCGCAUGGUACAGUGUGAAAAACUCCGGUGGUACAGGAUGGCUCCGCGUUGGAUUAGCCAGUUGCGGGGUAACGGCCCACCAAAGCGACGAUCCAUAGCCGGCCUGAGAGGGUGAACGGCCACAUUGGGACUGAGACACGGCCCAGACUCCUACGGGAGGCAGCAGUGGGGAAUAUUGCACAAUGGGGGGAACCCUGAUGCCAGCGACGCCGCGUGAAGGAAGAAGUAUCUCGGUAUGUAAACUUCUAUCAGCAGGGAAGAGAUUGACGGUACCUGACCAAGAAGCCCCGGCUAACUACGUGCCAGCCGCCGC